CUUUAAGACAGGCCUAGCAGCCCGGUCACAUCCAGCCCUGCCUGUGGCAAUGGGGCUGGAACUUCAUAAUCAUUGAAGUCCCUUCCAAAACAAGGCGUACUAUGAUUCCAUGAUCCCAGGCCAGUAGGAACAUUAGGUUUCCUGGUGUCAUCCCUGAGCAGUUCUCCUCCACUCACAGAUCAGGAUCCUUGCAGCCCAAAGCCCAGGUGAGCUCUUAGAUGCAGGUGGUAGCAGGGCCAGGUGGAGAGCGCUGUAGAUGAGUGCAAUUAAAGCAGAGGAAAUCAGUUACUCUUUGAAGGGAGGAGAAGUUUUCUGCAGAUUUGUAGGGAGGAGGGUUACCAGUAGGUUCUGGUGUGAGCUGCUUGGAAAAGAGUGGCCUAUUGUUAACAGCUGAAGACAUUCUGAAUGGAAGGGACUUUUUUGCAAAGCAGCAGAGACUUAAACAGAUGCUAAGAGUUGGAGGAGAGCCACAGCUGGGGAAAUCGAAGAACACAAACCAAGAAAAACCCACAUGCAGCAUAAUACAGACAGAGAUGGC